rnacentral:rRNA from 1 species
UACGUAGGGUGCGAGCGUUGUCCGGAAUUACUGGGCGUAAAGAGCUCGUAGGCGGUUUGUCGCGUCGUCCGUGAAAACUUGGGGCUCAACCCCAAGCUUGCGGGCGAUACGGGCAGACUUGAGUACUGCAGGGGAGGACUGGAAUUCCUGGUGUAGCGGUGAAAUGCGCAGAUAUCAGGAGGAACACCGGUGGCGAAGGCGGGUCUCUGGGCAGUAACUGACGCUGAGGAGCGAAAGCAUGGGGAGCGAACAGG